AGUGAACGCUGGCGGUGCGCCUAACACAUGCAAGUCGAGCGGUAACAGAGAGAAGCUUGCUUCUCUGCUGACGAGCGGCGGACGGGUGAGUAAUGCCUAGGAAUCUGCCUAGUAGUGGGGGAUAACUUGCCGAAAGGUAAGCUAAUACCGCAUACGUCCUACGGGAGAAAGGAGGGGAUCUUCGGGCCUUUCGCUAUUAGAUGAGCCUAGGUCGGAUUAGUUAGUUGGUGAGGUAAUGGCUCACCAAGACCGCGAUCCGUAACUGGUCUGAGAGGAUGAUCAGUCACACUGGAACUGAGACACGGUCCAGACUCCUACGGGAGGCAGCAGUGGGGAAUAUUGGACAAUGGGGGGAACCCUGAUCCAGCCAUGCCGCGUGUGUGAAGAAGGUCUUAGGAUUGUAAAGCACUUUAAGUUGGGAGGAAGAGCAGUUAACUAAUAUUUGACUGUUUUGACGUUACCGACAGAAUAAGCACCGGCUAACUUCGUGCCAGCCGCCGCCGUAA
rnacentral:rRNA from 1 species